UUGCACGCUGGCGGCAUGCCUUACACAUGCAAGUCGAACGGCAGCACGGGUGCUUGCACCUGGUGGCGAGUGGCGAACGGGUGAGUAAUACAUCGGAACAUGUCCUGUAGUGGGGGAUAGCCCGGCUAAAGCCGGAUUAAUACCGCAUACGAUCUACGGAUGAAAGCGGGGGACCUUCGGGCCUCGCGCUAUAGGGUUGGCCGAUGGCUGAUUAGCUAGUUGGUGGGGUAAAGGCCUACCAAGGCGACGAUCAGUAGCUGGUCUGAGAGGACGACCAGCCACACUGGGACUGAGACACGGCCCAGACUCCUACGGGAGGCAGCAGUGGGGAAUUUUGGACAAUGGGCGAAAGCCUGAUCCAGCAAUGCCGCGUGUGUGAAGAAGGCCUUCGGGUUGUAAAGCACUUUUGUCCGGAAAGAAAUCCUUGGCCCUAAUACGGUCGGGGGAUGACGGUACCGGAAGAAUAAGCACCGGCUAACUACGUG
rnacentral:rRNA from 1 species